rnacentral:rRNA from 1 species
AACGUAGGGGACAAGCGUUAUCCGGAAUUACUGGGCGUAAAGCGCGCGUAGGCGGCUUUGUAAGUUAGAGGUGAAAGCCCGGAGCUCAACUCCGGAACUGCCUUUAAGACUGCAUCGCUAGAAUUGUGGAGAGGUGAGUGGAAUUCCGAGUGUAGAGGUGAAAUUCGUAGAUAUUCGGAAGAACACCAGUGGCGAAGGCGACUCACUGGACACAUAUUGACGCUGAGGCGCGAAAGCGUGGGGAGCAAACAGGG